rnacentral:rRNA from 1 species
AGCGGUAGAGAGAAGCUUGCUUCUCUUGAGAGCGGCGGACGGGUGAGUAAAGCCUAGGAAUCUGCCUGGUAGUGGGGGAUAACGUUCGGAAACGGACGCUAAUACCGCAUACGUCCUACGGGAGAAAGCAGGGGACCUUCGGGCCUUGCGCUAUCAGAUGAGCCUAGGUCGGAUUAGCUAGUUGGUGAGGUAAUGGCUCACCAAGGCGACGAUCCGUAACUGGUCUGAGAGGAUGAUCAGUCACACUGGAGCUGAGACACGGUCCAGACUCCUACGGGAGGCAGCAGUGGGGAAUAUUGGACAAUGGGCGAAAGCCUGAUCCAGCCAUGCCGCGUGUGUGAAGAAGGUCUUCGGAUUGUAAAGCACUUUAAGUUGGGAGGAAGGGCAUUAACCUAAUACGUUAGUGUUUUGACGUUACCGACAGAAUAAGCACCGGCUAACUCUGUGCCAGCAGCCGCGGUAAUACAGAGGGUGCAAGCGUUAAUCGGAAUUACUGGGCGUAAAGCGCGCGUAGGUGGUUUGUUAAGUUGGAUGUGAAAUCCCCGGGCUCAACCUGGGAACUGCAUUCAAAACUGACUGACUAGAGUAUGGUAGAGGGUGGUGGAAUUUCCUGUGUAGCGGUGAAAUGCGUAGAUAUAGGAAGGAACACCAGUGGCGAAGGCGACCACCUGGACUAAUACUGACACUGAGGUGCGAAAGCGUGGGGAGCAAACAGGAUUAGAUACCCUGGUAGUCCACGCCGUAAACGAUGUCAACUAGCCGUUGGGAGCCUUGAGCUCUUAGUGGCGCAGCUAACGCAUUAAGUUGACCGCCUGGGGAGUACGGCCGCA